CGGCAUGCCUUACACAUGCAAGGUCGAACGGUAGAGUAGCAAUACUUGAGAGUGGCGAACGGGUGAGUAAUAUAUCGGAACGUGCCCAGUCGUGGGGAUAACGUAGCGAAAGCUACGCUAAUACCGCAUACGAUCUAUGGAUGAAAGCGGGGGAUCGCAAGACCUCGCGCGAUUGGAGCGGCCGAUAUCAGAUUAGGUAGUUGGUGAGGUAAAGGCUCACCAAGCCGACGAUCUGUAGCUGGUCUGAGAGGACGACCAGCCACACUGGGACUGAGACACGGCCCAGACUCCUACGGGAGGCAGCAGUGGGGAAUUUUGGACAAUGGGCGCAAGCCUGAUCCAGCAAUGCCGCGUGCAGGAUGAAGGCCUUCGGGUUGUAAACUGCUUUGUACGGAACGAAACGGUGAGCUCUAAUACAGUUUGCUAAUGACGGUACCGUAAGAAUAAGCACCGGCUAACUACGUG
rnacentral:rRNA from 1 species